rnacentral:lncRNA from 1 species
GUAAUGCUCUAGAUAAAAGUCCCUUAUCUCUGCAGGUGCACUGCAACUGCUUGCUUCGACUUGUCGACUAUUUCCGUACAGACUUGCAGAUUGUUCUGCUGCAUUGUGGGUAGUUCCUCAGACUCCAAAGCAUUUGUAGUCGCAACUCUGAGGAGCUUACAUCUAAUUGAUCUUUCAGCCGCUUCUCUUAAAAAAGCUGAUGUCGAGAAAAGAUGCCGAGAUGAUGUCGAGAAACUAUGGAUUUGUUCAAGUUUAGAAUUUAGGAGAUCAACCCUAGAGUGAUACGAAAUUUAAGCCAUAACAUGAAAUUCACGAGUGGCGACAUGGGUUUAUAUAGGCAGCAUGAAUGCCAAAGUAUAUUUUUGAAGCUUUCAGGGUUUUGAGCCCAUUUACUUUGGGUGGUCUAACACUGACACGCCCAAAGACUGCAGCAUAACAAUAUGGUGUUGCAUAACAAUAACCAUUUAAAAUAAUUUUAUUAACUCUCUUUCUUUAUACAAAUUUUGUAAUAGAUUUAAAAGUAACUUCAUGUAGAUCUAUUGAUUAGAAAUUUGAACAAAUUGUAACAUAAAUUGUAAUUUUGGAAUGUCAUACUGAUCUGAUACAAUUAUAUCUAGGAAUAAAAUGGUUGGUUAAUUGUAAACAAUUCAUAUUUUACUAGCAAAAUGAGUGUAAUUAGAGAUUGUGUUGUGAAAUAAUCUCAGUACUCAAAAAUGAUGUUUGAGAUCAUUUUACAUCGUUAACGAAGUAGAUGUCACAUGGGAAUGUCAUACUGAUCCGAUUGAUUUGUAACUAGGAAAUACAAUGGUUGGUUAAUUGUAAACAAUUCAUAUUUUACUAGCAAAAAGAGUGUAAUUAGAGAUUGUGUUAUGAAAUAAUCUCAAUACUCAAAAAUGAUGUUUUAGAUCAUUGGACAUCACUCAAUGAAGUAGAUGUCACAUGGGAAUGUCAUACUGAUCCGAUUGAUUUGUAACUAGGAAAUACAAUGGUUGGUUAAUUGCAAACAAUUCAUUUUUACUAGCAAAAUGAGUGUAAUUAGAGAUUGUGUUAUGAAAUAAUCUCAGUACUCAAAAAUUGUUUUAGAUCAUUGGACAUCACUCAAUGAAGUAGAUGUCACAUGGGAAUGUCAUACUGAUCUGAUUGAUUUGUAACUAGGAAAUAAAUCGGUUGGUUAAUUGUAAACAAUUCAUUUUUAUUAUCAAAAUGAGUGUAAUUAGAGAUUGUGUUAUGAAAUAAUCUCAGUACUCAAAAAUGAUGUUUUAGAUCAUUGGACAUCACUCAAUGAAGUAGAUGUCACAUGGGAAUGUCAUACUGAUCUGAUUGAUUUGUUACUAGGAAAUAAAACGGUUGGUUAAUUGUAAACAAUUCAUUUUUACUAGCAAAAUGAGUGUAAUUAGAGAUUGUGUUAUGAAAUAAUCUCAGUACUCAAAAAUUGUUUUAGAUCAUUAUACAUCACUCAAUGAAGUAGAUGUCACAUGGGAAUGUCAUACUGAUCUGAUUGAUUUGUUACUAGGAAAUAAAACGGUUGGUUAAUUGUAAACAAUUCAUUUUUACUAGCAAAAUGAGUGUAAUUAGAGAUUGUGUUGUGAAAUAAUCUCAGUACUCAAAAAUGAUUUUAGAUCAUUGGACAUCACUCAAUGAAGUAGAUGUCACAUGGGAAUGUCAUACUGAUCUGAUUGAUUUGUAACUAGGAAAUAAAUCGGUUGGUUAAUUGUAAACAAUUCAUUUUUAUUAUCAAAAUGAGUGUAAUUAGAGAUUGUGUUAUGAAAUAAUCUCAGUACUCAAAAAUUGUUUUAGAUCAUUGGACAUCACUCAAUGAAGUAGAUGUCACAUGGGAAUGUCAUACUGAUCUGAUUGAUUUGUUACUAGGAAAUAAAACGGUUGGUUAAUUGUAAACAAUUCAUUUUUACUAGCAAAAUGAGUGUAAUUAGAGAUUGUGUUAUGAAAUAAUCUCAGUACUCAAAAAUUGAUGUUUUAGAUCAUUGGACAUCACUCAAUGAAGUAGAUGUCACAUGGGAAUGUCAUACUGAUCCGAUUGAUUUGUAACUAGGAAAUACAAUGGUUGGUUAAUUGUAAACAAUUCAUUUUUACUAGCAAAAUGAGUGUAAUUAGAGAUUGUGUUAUGAAAUAAUCUCAAUACUCAAAAAUGAUGUUUUAGAUCAUUGGACAUCACUCAAUGAAGUAGAUGUCACAUGGGAAUGUCAUACUGAUCUGAUUGAUUUGUAACUAGGAAAUACAAUGGUUGGUUAAUUGUAAACAAUUCAUUUUUACUAGCAAAAUGAGUGUAAUUAGAGAUUGUGUUGUGAAAUAAUCUCAGUACUCAAAAAUUGUUUUAGAUCAUUGGACAUCACUCAAUGAAGUAGAUGUCACAUGGGAAUGUCAUACUGAUCUGAUUGAUUUGUUACUAGGAAAUAAAACGGUUGGUUAAUUGUAAACAAUUCAUUUUUACUAGCAAAAUGAGUGUAAUUAGAGAUUGUGUUGUGAAAUAAUCUCAGUACUCAAAAAUUGUUUUAGAUCAUUGGACAUCACUCAAUGAAGUAGAUGUCACAUGGGAAUGUCAUACUGAUCUGAUUGAUUUGUUACUAGGAAAUAAAACGGUUGGUUAAUUGUAAACAAUUCAUUUUUACUAGCAAAAUGAGUGUAAUUAGAGAUUGUGUUGUGAAAUAAUCUCAGUACUCAAAAAUU